UACGGAGGAUGCGAGCGUUAAUCGGAAUUACUGGGCGUAAAGGGUGUGCAGGCGGCUGAGUAAGACAGAUGUGAAAUCCCCGGGCUUAACCUGGGAACCGCAUAUGUGACUGCUUGGCUAGAGUGCGUCAGAGGGAGGUGGAAUUCCACGUGUAGCAGUGAAAUGCGUAGAUAUGUGGAAGAACACCGAUGGCGAAGGCAGCUCACUGGACUGCAACUGACACUGAGGCUCGAAAGUGUGGGUAUCAAACAGG
rnacentral:rRNA from 1 species